UACGUAGGGUCCGAGCGUUGUCCGGAAUUAUUGGGCGUAAAGGGCUCGUAGGCGGUUUGUCACGUCGGGAGUGAAAACUCAGGGCUCAACCCUGAGCGUGCUUCCGAUACGGGCAGACUAGAGGUAUGCAGGGGAGAACGGAAUUCCUGGUGUAGCGGUGGAAUGCGCAGAUAUCAGGAGGAACACCGGUGGCGAAGGCGGUCUCUGGGCAUUACCUGACGCUGAGGAGCGAAAGCAUGGGGAGCGAACAGG
rnacentral:rRNA from 1 species